rnacentral:rRNA from 1 species
UACGUAGGGGGCGAGCGUUAUCCGGAAUUAUUGGGCGUAAAGCGCGCGCAGGCGGUUUCUUAAGUCUGAUGUGAAAGCCCACGGCUCAACCGUGGAGGGUCAUUGGAAACUGGGAAACUUGAGUGCAGAAGGGAAGAGUGGAAUUCCACGUGUAGCGGUGAAAUGCGUAGAGAUGUGGAGGAACACCAGUGGCGAAGGCGACUCUUUGGGCUGUAACUGACGCUGAGGAGCGAAAGCGUGGGGAGCAAACAGG